AUAAAGUUAUAACAAGCACAAUAUUAUUAAAUUAAUGCAUGUUGUAUAAUUUACUUGGAGAGUUUUUUUAGCAUGUAACCGAUUUCUUAUUGUUUUUAGUAAAUGUGGCACAUCAGAAAACACAAACACUCUUCAGGUGUUGUCAAAUGGAUUCACAAAUGAAUUUUGAAGUUGAUUUAGUUUCCCACUUACACCCAAAACAUUCCACAAUGUUCUGUUGGUACAUGCACCAUCGCUCGUUAUCCCUAAUACUUCUACACCUGCAUUUUCAAGAAGCAGUAUGGCUUUUGUGACUAUUUUAGCAAGAUCGAUUCCUAUAUAAUUGGGUUGAUGUAAAUUCUCAGCUAAACCUUGAAUCAUCAACACAAGAGCGUGAUUAGCUUUUUCCAAUGAUUUAUUUUCAAAAUCAUCUCCCAAGUCUUCUAAGCCAUGAAGUUUGAAAAACUUCAUC